UUUGGAUAUGGCUUUCUGGAGGUGGAUGGUUAAACAGUUUUUGGAGAAAGAGGCUUAUCAAUGUAUAUGUAGGCUUUUGUGAAAUAUUUUUGAUGUUGAUAGAGGUUGUAUCUGUAGCAGGGAUCUUUGUAUUUGGCUUGAAGAAUUAUGAAUAUUUAAUUGUAGAGAUUUAUUCCUAAAAAAAACUAUAGAGAUUUAAACAAUAUUUGAAUUAGAUACAGUUAAUAUUGUUGCAUGAUUUUGCAAGUAAAGGCAAUAAAGGGAUUAAAGUGUAAGUUGAAAAUUUCGAACUCGAAAGCCCAUAAAAUGGGAUUUUUUAUCGUCUAUGACUUCUCUCUAGCUUUAUACCUCCCUAUCAUUAGUUGCACUUUACUUUCUUUCUCUUAAGGAGUUACAACCAGAUGCUAAUAUGCACAGCUUCAGUUUCUUAUUACCUUUGGCAUUUUGGUAACUUAAAACACCCUUAGUCUGAAUUUUUUGCUGAAUUAUUAGGUUAUCGGACCUUCUCUCUCACACCUUUUAAACGAGUGAUGGGGGCUAUUUAACUUGCAAUCGCAGUCCACUCAAAUAUGUUUUCUACCACGAAUCUUGCCCCCAAGCUGGGCAAAUCAUCCGAUUAAAGGUUCGCCAUCUGUACGAAGUCCGCUCCAAUGUCACCUAGCAUUAUUGUGGCUCAUCUUCCAUGAUUGUUUUAAUGAGGAAGAGGCUUCUUCAUUCUCUUGCACUGGUUUUUGGUUGUAUAAUUGCUUCAUCUUUGGUCAAAUUGGGAGGAGUCAGAUGCUAAAGUAUUUUUAAGAAGCAACAUAAGUGCUGGAGCUAGAUUCAUGAGUUAUUUGGAAGCUUUCUAAUAUUUUUGGGUGCUAUAUGUAAAUACUGUUGGGGAAAUUAUUGUUGAUUUCCUCAUUAUUUAUUUAUUUAUUUAUUUUGAAUAUAAAAAUAUGUAGAAUUUACAUUUUGGAUAAAUUUGUGUAUAAGCUCACUAGUUUUUGUAAGUGGUGAAAUAUAUGCUAUUUU